GUGGGAGGGGGCUUGCCCCCGAUGGCGGUGUGUCAGUCAAUCAUUUGUUAACUGACCCACCGCUAUCGGGGGCAAGCCCCCUCCCAC
rnacentral:misc_RNA from 1 species